UUCCUAGUGAUUAGAGUUUGAUCAUGGCUCAGAACGUACGCUGGCGGCACGCCUAACACAUGCAAGUCGAACGCAGUAGCAAUACUGAGUGGCAGACGGGUGAGUAUAAUGUGGGAAUCUGCCUUUUGGUUCGGAAUAACUCGGGGAAACUUGAGCUAAUACCGGAUAAGCCCUUACGGGGAAAGAUUUAUCGCCAAAAGAUGAGCCCGCACUUGAUUAGCUAGUUGGUGAGGUAAUUGCUCACCAAGGCAACAAUCAAUAGCUGUUCUUAGAGGAAGACCAGCCACAUUGGGACUGAGACACGGCCCAGACUCCUACGGGAGGCAGCAGUGGGGAAUCUUGCACAAUGGGGGAAACUCUGAUGCAGCGAUGCCGCGUGAGUGAAGAAGGCCCUUGGGUUGUAAAGCUCUUUCGUCGGGGAAGAAAAUGACUGUACCCGAAUAAGAAGGUCCGGCUAACUUCGUGCCAGCAGCCGCGGUAAUACGAAGGGACCUAGCGUAGUUCGGAAUUACUGGGCUUAAAGAGUUCGUAGGUGGUUGAAAAAGUUGGUGGUGAAAUCCCAGAGCUUAACUCUGGAACUGCCAUCAAAACUUUUCAGCUAGAGUUUGAUAGAGGAAAGCAGAAUUUCUAGUGUAGAGGUGAAAUUCGUAGAUAUUAGAAAGAAUACCAAUUGCGAAGGCAGCUUUCUGGAUCAUUACUGACACUGAGGAACGAAAGCAUGGGUAGCGAAGAGGAUUAGAUACCCUCGUAGUCCAUGCCGUAAACGAUGUGUGUUAGACGUUGGAAAUUUAUUUUCAGUGUCGCAGCGAAAGCGAUAAACACACCGCCUGGGGAGUACGACCGCAAGGUUAAAACUCAAAUGAAUUGACGGGGACCCGCACAAGUAGUGGAGCAUGUGGUUUAAUUCGAAGAUACGCGCAGAACCUUACCAACACUUGACAUGUUCGUCGCGACUUUAAGAGAUUAAAGUUUUCGGUUCGGCCGGACGAAACACAGGUGCUGCAUGGCUGUCGUCAGCUCGUGUCGUGAGAUGUUGGGUUAAGUCCCGCAACGAGCGCAACCCUCACUUUUAGUUGCCAUCAUUAAGUUGGGCACUCUGAAAGAACUGCCAGUGAUAAGCUGGAGGAAGGUGGGGAUGACGUCAAGUCCUCAUGGCCCUUACGUGUUGGGCUACACACGUGCUACAAUGGUAUCUACAACAGGAAGCGAAACAGCGAUGUUAAGCAAAUCCUUAAAAGAUACCUCAGUUCGGAUUGCACUCUGCAACUCGAGUGCAUGAAGCUGGAAUUACUAGUAAUCGUGGAUCAGCGUGCCACGGUGAAUGCGUUCCCGGGUCUUGUACACACCGCCCGUA
rnacentral:rRNA from 1 species